UGAGGAAUUUUCUGCAAUGGACGAAAGUCUGACAGAGCAAUACCGCGUGAGGGAAGAAGGCCUAUGGGUUGUAAACCUCUUUUCUCAAGGAGGAAGAUCUGACGUUACUUGAGGAAUAAGCAUCGGCUAACCCUGUGCCAGCAGCCGCGGUAAUACAGGGGAUGCAAGUGUUAUCCGGAAUCAUUGGGCGUAAAGCGUCUGCAGGUUGAUAUGUAAGUCUUUUGUUAAAUCUCUAGGCUUAACCUGGAAUCUGCAAAAGAAACUAUUUAUCUAGAGUAUGGUAGAGGUAAAGGGAAUUUCCAGUGGAGCGGUGAAAUGCGUAGAUAUUGGAAAGAACACCAACAGCGAAGGCACUUUACUGGGCCAUUACUGACACUCAGAGACGAAAGCUAGGGGAGCAAACAGG
rnacentral:rRNA from 1 species